rnacentral:rRNA from 1 species
UUCGCCCUUCGCGAUUGGAUGAACCUAGGUCGGAUUAGCUAGUUGGUGAGGUAAUGGCUCACCAAGGCGACGAUCCGUAACUGGUCUGAGAGGAUGAUCAGUCACACUGGAACUGAGACACGGUCCAGACUCCUACGGGAGGCAGCAGUGGGGAAUAUUGGACAAUGGGCGAAAGCCUGAUCCAGCCAUGCCGCGUGUGUGAAGAAGGUCUUCGGAUUGUAAAGCACUUUAAGUUGGGAGGAAGGGCACUUACCCACUACGUAGCUGUUUUGACGGGAUGGAAAGAAUAAGGUAUGGCUAACUCUGUGCCAGCAGCCGCGGUAAUACAGAGGGUGCAAGCGUUAAUCGGAAUUACUGGGCGUAAAGCGCGCGUAAGUGGUUAGUUAAGUUGGAUGUGAAAUCCCCGGGCUCAACCUGGGAACUGCAUUCAAAACUGACUGACUAGAGUAUGGUAGAGGGUGGUGGAAUUUCCUGUGUAGCGGUGAAAUGCGUAGAUAUAGGAAGGAACACCAGUGGCGAAGGCGACCACCUGGACUGAUACUGACACUGAGGUGCGAAAGCGUGGGGAGCAAACAGGAUUAGAUACCCUGUGUAGUCCACGCCGUAAACGAUGUCAACUAGCCGUUGGGAGCCCUUGAGCUCUUAGUGGCGCAGCUAACGCAUUUAGUUGACCGCCUGGGGAGUACGGCCGCAAGGUAAAACUCAUCGAAUUGACGGGGGCCCCACAAGUGUUGGAGC